rnacentral:rRNA from 1 species
UUGAACGCUGGCGACAGGCCUAACACAUGCAAGUCGGGCGGAUGAAGGGAGCUUGCUCCUGGAUUCAGCGGCGGACGGGUGAGUAAUGCCUAGGAAUCUGCCUGGUAGUGGGGGAUAACGUCCGGAAACGGGCGCUAAUACCGCAUACGUCCUGAGGGAGAAAGUGGGGGAUCUUCGGACCUCACGCUAUCAGAUGAGCCUAGGUCGGAUUAGCUAGUUGGUGGGGUAAAGGCCUACCAAGGCGACGAUCCGUAACUGGUCUGAGAGGAUGAUCAGUCACACUGGAACUGAGACACGGUCCAGACUCCUACGGGAGGCAGCAGUGGGGAAUAUUGGACAAUGGGCGAAAGCCUGAUCCAGCCAUGCCGCGUGUGUGAAGAAGGUCUUCGGAUUGUAAAGCACUUUAAGUUGGGAGGAAGGGCAGUAAGUUAAUACCUUGCUGUUUUGACGUUACCAACAGAAUAAGCACCGGCUAACUUCGUG